CAGCAGUAGCCGCGGGAAUACGAAGGGUGCAAACCUUGCUCGGAAUUAUUGGGCGUAAAGCGCACGUAGGCGGCUCCGCAAGUCGGAUGUGAAAUCCCUCGGCUUAACCAAGGAAGUGCAUCCGAAACUGCAGAGCUUGAGUACUUAAGAGGAUCGCGGAAUUCCCGGUGUAGAGGUGAAAUUCGUAGAUAUCGGGAGGAACACCAGUGGCGAAGGCGGCGAUCUGGGAAGAUACUGACGCUGAGGUGCGAAAGCGUGGGGAGCAAACAGGAUUAGAUACCCCCGUAGUCCCUGUCUCUUAUAC
rnacentral:rRNA from 1 species